rnacentral:lncRNA from 1 species
UCGGUUGACAAGCGACUAUGUCAAACAAAGAUAAGGCACCUCGACAAUUUUAUCCUGCCGACUCAGACAAUAUGAAACUCUAUCGACUAUGACUGUCAUACGACUUGGAGAGGCCACGUCAAAGUUAUGUCACUCAGACACCAUACCCUGAUUGGCUAGCUGCACGUCAUUAUAGGAUACUACGAUCUCAUUAAAUACAUCUUAGGAGUCACU